GACGAACGCUGGCGGCGUGCUUAACACAUGCAAGUCGAACGGAAAGGCACUGCUUUUGUGGGGUGCUCGAGUGGCGAACGGGUGAGUAACACGUGAGUAACCUGCCCUUGACUUUGGGAUAACUUCAGGAAACUGGGGCUAAUACCGGAUAGGAGCUCCUGCUGCAUGGUGGGGGUUGGAAAGUUUCGGCGGUUGGGGAUGGACUCGCGGCUUAUCAGCUUGUUGGUGGGGUAGUGGCUUACCAAGGCUUUGACGGGUAGCCGGCCUGAGAGGGUGACCGGCCACAUUGGGACUGAGAUACGGCCCAGACUCCUACGGUAGGCAGCAGUGGGGAAUAUUGCACAAUGGGCGGAAGCCUGAUGCAGCAACGCCGCGUGCGGGAUGACGGCCUUCGGGUUGUAAACCGCUUUCGCCUGUGACGAAGCGUGAGUGACGGUAAUGGGUAAAGAAGCACCGGCUAACUACGUG
rnacentral:rRNA from 1 species